GAUUUCACUCCUCGACGCUAUCAAUUUUGUCAAUAUAAAUUCCUUUUUAUUUAGCAUUGAUGUCGCACUUGAUUCAAAUUAAUAUUACAGAUUAAAUGUAGUAAUUAGGGAAUGACUCCUAAGUCGUCUCAUAAGGAUCAAACUCGUAGUGUGGAGGGGGGGUUGAACAGGUUCAUGAAUUGAAUUAAUACUUUAAAUUAAACAUUGAUUAAAACGGUUGGUC
rnacentral:lncRNA from 1 species